UGGGGAAUCUUGGUCAAUGGGCGCAAGCCUGAACCAGCGACGCCGCGUGAGUGAUGAAGGCCUUCGGGUUGUAAAGCUCUGUGGGGAGAGACGAAAAAAGCUCGGGCGAACAGGCCGAGCUCUUGACGGUACCUCCUUAGCAAGCACCGGCUAACUCUGUGCCAGCAGCCGCGGUAAGACAGAGGGUGCGAACGUUGCUCGGAAUUACUGGGCGUAAAGCGCGUGUAGGUGGGUCGAUAAGUCGGGCGUGAAAUCCCUGGGCUCAACCCGGGAACUGCGCUCGAAACUGCCGAUCUUGAGUGCCGGAGAGGGUGGCGGAAUUCCUGGUGUAGAGGUGAAAUUCGUAGAUAUCAGGAGGAACACCGGUGGCGAAGGCGGCCACCUGGACGGCUACUGACACUGAGACGCGAAAGCGUGGGGAGCAAACAGGAUUAGAUACCCCCGUAGUCC
rnacentral:rRNA from 1 species